ACCUGUUUGGCUCAGUUGGUAGAGCGUGUGUCUCUUGAUCUCAGGGGUGUGAGUUCAAGACCCACUUUGGGUG
rnacentral:tRNA from 1 species